rnacentral:rRNA from 1 species
AGUGAACGCUGGCGGCAGGCCUAACACAUGCAAGUCGAACGGCAGCACAAGAGAGCUUGCUCUCUGGGUGGCGAGUGGCGGACGGGUGAGGCAUGCAUCGGAAUCUGCCCAUUUGUGGGGGAUAACCUCGGGAAACCGGGACUAAUACCGCAUACGACCUAAGCGUGAAAGCAGGGGAUCUUAGGACCUUGCGCAGAUGGAUGAGCCGAUGCCGGAUUAGCUAGUUGGAGGGGUAAAGGCCCACCAAGGCGACGAGCCGUAGCUGGUCUGAGAGGAUGAUCAGCCACACUGGAACUGAGACACGGCCCAGACUCCUACGGGAGGCAGCAGUGGGGAAUAUUGGACAAUGGGCGCAAGCCUGAUCCAGCCAUGCCGCGUGUGUGAAGAAGGCCUUCGGGUUGUAAAGCACUUUUGUUGGGAAAGAAAAGCAGCCGGUUAAUACCCGGUUGUCAUGACGGUACCCAAAGAAUAAGCACCGGCUAACUUCGUG